GUGAGUGGCGGACGGGUGAGUAACACGUGGGUAACCUGCCCUAAAGUGGGGGAUAACAUUUGGAAACAGAUGCUAAUACCGCAUAAAACCUAACACCGCAUGGUGUAGGGUUGAAAGAUGGUUUCGGCUAUCACUUUAGGAUGGACCCGCGGUGCAUUAGUUAGUUGGUGAGGUAAAGGCUCACCAAGACCGUGAUGCAUAGCCGACCUGAGAGGGUAAUCGGCCACACUGGGACUGAGACACGGCCCAGACUCCUACGGGAGGCAGCAGUAGGGAAUCUUCCACAAUGGACGAAAGUCUGAUGGAGCAACGCCGCGUGAGUGAAGAAG
rnacentral:rRNA from 1 species